rnacentral:rRNA from 1 species
GAUGAACGCUGGCGGCGUGCCUAAUACAUGCAAGUCGAGCGAACAGACGAGGAGCUUGCUCCUCUGACGUUAGCGGCGGACGGGUGAGUAACACGUGGAUAACCUACCUAUAAGACUGGGAUAACUUCGGGAAACCGGAGCUAAUACCGGAUAAUAUAUUGAACCGCAUGGUUCAAUAGUGAAAGACGGUUUUGCUGUCACUUAUAGAUGGAUCCGCGCCGCAUUAGCUAGUUGGUAAGGUAACGGCUUACCAAGGCAACGAUGCGUAGCCGACCUGAUAGGUGGGUCGGCCACACGGGAACUGGGACACGGUCCAGACUCCUACGGGAGGCAGCAGUAGGGAAUCGUCCGCAAUGGUCGAGAGCCUGACGGAGCAACGCCGCGUGAGUGAUGAAGGUCUUCGGAUCGUAAAACUCUGUUAUUAGGUAUGAACAAAUGUGUAAGGAACUAUGCACUUCUUGACGGUACCUAAUCAGAAAGCCACGGCUAACUACGUG